rnacentral:rRNA from 1 species
GAUGAACGCUAGCGAUAGGCUUAACACAUGCAAGUCGAGGGGCAGCAUGGUCUUAGCUUGCUAAGGCUGAUGGCGACCGGCGCACGGGUGCGUAACGCGUAUGCAACUUGCCUCACAGAGGGGGAUAACCCGUCGAAAGACGGACUAAUACCGCGUACACUCCAUCUUGGGCAUCCAAGGUAGAGGAAAUGAAAUUCGCUGUGAGAUAGGCAUGCGUCCCAUUAGCUAGUUGGUGAGGUAACGGCUCACCAAGGCGACGAUGGGUAGGGGAACUGAGAGGUUGAACCCCCACACUGGUACUGAGACACGGACCAGACUCCUACGGGAGGCAGCAGUGAGGAAUAUUGGUCAAUGGGCGAGAGCCUGAACCAGCCAAGUCGCGUGAAGGAUGACUGUCUUAUGGAUUGUAAACUUCUUUUAUACGGGAAUAACAAGAGUCACGUGUGACUCC